rnacentral:rRNA from 1 species
UACGGGGGGGGCAAGCGUUGUUCGGAAUUACUGGGCGUAAAGGGCUCGUAGGCGGCCAACUAAGUCAGAGGUGAAAGCCCGGGGCUCAAACCCGGAACUGCCUUUGAGACUGGAUUGCUAGAAUCUUGGAGAGGCGAGUGGAAUUCCGAGUGUAGAGGUGAAAUUCGUAGAUAUUCGGAAGAACACCAGUGGCGAAGGCGGCUCGCUGGACAAGUAUUGACGCUGAGGUGCGAAAGCGUGGGGAGCAAACAGG